rnacentral:lncRNA from 1 species
UCAUUUUCACUCCCUAUGAUUUGGUUGCAAUUUGGGGAGGAAGAAAAAAAAAGAGGAGAACGAAGGUAGAUGAGGACUUGGAUAGGGUUUUGAAAUGAAAUGAUACUUUUACUCUCACUUAAAUAGGUCACGUGAAUAACACUAACACAUGCAUCUUCGGUCCAAUUAAGGUAAUACUGUCACUUAAAAAAUGCAUAUUACAUGUAAUUAUAAAAUAUGAAAGGUACAUUGUUCGAUUGUAAAUUCAAUGAGAUAAUAUAUAAAAUAUGCUAUAAGUUAGAGGGAUAAAGUAUAAUAAACCCUAUAUACAUAAACAACAGAGUUUUAUUUAUAUUUGCUAAAUUAAUUGAAUUCUAAGUCAAUAUAAAAUUUUCCGAGUAAUUCAAGAUUUUAAAGAUUCAAUAUUGUUUUAUAAACUUGGAAGGAAGGGUUCCAAGAAUUUUCCACUCUUUUAAAUGGUCAAAAAAACAUGUAGGUACGCAAUUAAAUCAUCUUUCUUCCAUGCUAAAAAAAUAAUAAAUAUAUAUUGUAAGUUUUAAAUUAAAGUAUUAUUUAAGAAUUCGGUAAUAAACUCAAUCAUAUGGUUAUACCAAAAUCAAAAUAUUAAAAAUAUUUUAGGUAAAAAAAAAGGGAAAAUAUAUUUAAUAAUCAAAUAAUAGAAAAUAAUUUUUUAUUUUUAAAAUAGAAAAUAUAAUAUUUUUUAAAAAUAUAUUUUUUUAUUAUUUUUACUCGUUUUUAAAAAAUAAUUAUAUAAAUAUGAGGAAAGAUUAAAAAUAAAAUAUUAUAUGUAAAAAUUAUUUUUAAAACAAAUUUUAAAAUAUAAAAAAUAAGUUAAAAAUAGGAUUAUCGUGGGCCAUUAACAAACCUAGACUAAGUAGGCCAUGGGUGUCUUGACGAUUUUUGCUGCAUUUUUGGUGUUUGAUUUCUUUAUUCAAUAUGAUCACCCAAACACAGAUAUAUAUAUAUAUAUAUAUAUAUAUAUAUAUAUCAAUUCAUUUAAAACAUACCUUCUUCUAUUUUGGAACAUAUCUGAGUCCAUUAUUUCUCGAGAUGGAUAAGGUAUGGAUCUUUUAAGGCUAUAGAGGGCACCACAUUUCUCUGUAUUUCUAAUUCAAAAGAUGUGAUCUCAAGAACCAAUACUUAGUCUUAUAUUUAUACCCUCUAUGCCUUAAAAGACCAUACCCUUUGGACUAUUGGGCAUCGCGAGUCUUAGGCCCAUCAUCUAAGACCCGUUAUAUAUCUGGGCUUUAUACAUGAGGUGACGCAUACUCUAGAUCAAAUAGAAAUCAUAUAUAUAUAUAUAUGGAUAGCUAAAUCCUGAACGAUGCCCUUUUAGAGGAUCGAGCUCUGCUUUUUUAUAAUUAAAAUUGAUUUGUAGCGGUGAGAAAAGUUAAGGCUGUGUUUGUUUUCUAAUGUAAAAAUGCAUUUUGAAGUAUGGGAAAUUUGAGGGUCAUAAACCAUAUUGGUUUAAGAUUGCAAUGCUCGUCGGCAACUGAACCCAUACGUACAUACAAUCACCCCGACCCCGACUCCGACCACUUCAUAUUGAAACUGGCCUCGAGGCUCGAGCCUCCCUUCCUAACAGUGAAACCUACCAGCAAGUCAACAAAAUGUGAAUGCAGUAGAGGCAAGGAGAGCAAAAUCUGCUCAAUCAUAAAGGGUGUUUGUUGAGAGAGAUGAUGGGCAUAGGCCUCUAGCUGUUCCUUUAGCUUAUUAUAUAUAGUCGGGUGGUUGGAAAUCUUAGUGGCUAUGAAAUCUGAGGACAGACUAUUCAUGUCAGUGACUUAGAAAUAAUUAUCUCCAAAUUUGGCAGUUUAUGCAUGAAGCAUACUAUAUAUUUAAUAUCUAAAACCCAGCUUUGAGAAACUUCAUGUGCCACGAAAUUUCUCAUUUACUACAUGACAGUGAUGACACAACCCACAAUGGGGAGGGAAACUUCUGACUUCUGAGAAUAAUCAGACUUUCUCAAGGACAGUUUGUCUCCACUUCACCCCCACCUUCCAUGGAAAUUUCCUCCUAUGCUUACCAUCUUCACCCAACUUGUGGUAACGAAAAAAUAAAAUAAAAAAAUUAGAAAGGAAAUUUUUUUAUCAUAUUUAGUUUUUCCACUAGAAAUAUAAAAAAUAAAUUAAUUAAAAUUUUAUAUAUUUUAAAUUAUUUAAUUAGUUAAAAUAAGUGAAAUGCGCUUCAAAUUUGAUAUAAAUUAGAUUUAUUUAUUUAUUUUAUUUGCCAUUAAAUUAAAUCUAAAUCAAUUUUUAAUCAAUGAAUCUAUGUUGAUCAUGUUAAACUUAAAAGUAAUUGUAUCCAGCUACUUUUCGAACGUUACAAUUUAUUUUUUAAUACGUAACCAUGUGAAAUUUUUAUUUUUUAUCUGGAUAGGCUUUUGGACCCCUUUCAAAUGGAUGGGCCACAAUUGAAAAUGGGCCGGAUCGGAAAGAUGUGGUCGCCCAAAGGAAUCGAGGUCCAUAACGGUUGCUUCCUGACAAAGCGAAGGCGCAUGUUCUCAACCACGAUUCGUGUCGCCGAAUCAACGAACAAUUAUGGGCUAAUAGAUCAUAAAGGAAACAAAUGCUAAGGUGACAAGAAUGUCCUCGACUUGGCGCCAUUCUUGUUUCAACCAAAUCUAGCGAGGAGGACAUAUCUGUAUUUUCAGUUUAUAAGUUAUCUUCUCCUCCGUUUGGUUAUGAUAUUUUUGUAGUCACCCCAUAAUCUUUUGAAAUUGCAACUAGGCCCUUUCAUGGCGACUCUCACCGCCGUGUCUUCUGCUUCAUGGCCAAACCCUAACCCUAGUCCUAAUUCGACCUUUCUCUCUCAGCAGAGCCACCCCGAGCAGUAUCCGGCGGUUCAGGAUCCCACUGCAAUGCGUCAGCAUCAGGGAACCGGCCUCUCCGGAGAUGGAGGCGAGGAUGAAUCAUUUUCUUCUUCUCCAAAUCAUCACACUGUUCAAAGCCCUAAUUCUAAUCUUCGUGAAGUUGUAUCUUAUUCGACAUCCUCUAUACCGUCUCUUCUCCAUAUUUCCUUCAAUCAGGACCACGGUUGCUUCGCCGCGGGCACGGAUAACGGCUUCCGGAUCUAUAAUUGCGACCCGUUCCGCGAGAUUUUCCGGCGAGACUUCGACCGCGGCGGAGGAAUUGGCGUCGUGGAGAUGCUAUUCCGGUGCAACAUCCUGGCCCUGGUUGGCGGCGGACCUGAGCCGCAGUAUCCGCUCAACAAAGUCAUGAUUUGGGAUGAUCACCAAAGCCGGUGCAUUGGAGAGCUGUCAUUCCGAUCGGAGGUCCGAGCAGUUAAGCUCCGGCGGGACCGUAUCAUAGUGGUCUUGGAACAGAAGAUUUUCUUGUACAACUUCGCGGACUUGAAGCUGUUACAUCAGAUUGAGACGAUUGCAAAUCCCAGGGGGCUUUGCGCGGUUUCGCAGCUCACUGCGUCGCUUGUGUUGGUGUGUCCAGGGUUGCAGAAGGGGCAGGUCAGGGUCGAGCAUUACGCUUCGAGGAGGACCAAGUUCUUCGCGGCCCAUGAUUCUAGACUUGCGUGUUUCGCGCUCACUACGGACGGCCAAUUGCUCGCCACUGCAAGCACCAAAGGAACUCUGGUUAGAAUUUUCAAUACUUCCGAUGGCACACGGCUGCAAGAGGUACAUUAUAUGCCCUUUUUCAGUUCUGCGCUUUGAGGAGUGAACUUGAAAUUUUGAUGAUUCUGUAAAUGGGCCAUAGGCUAUUGAUAUUUUGAUGUUUCUCUAUUAGGGUUAUUAUAAAAGUAGUAUUCCCAAUUUCCCGAUUUUAGGUUUCUUGUUGAAAUAGAUUGUGAAGUAUAAUUCAUUUAGCCAUGUCCCUUCUUUUUCCUCUACUUCUUGUGGAGACCACAGCAGGCACAGUUGACGUACAACCUCAAUUUGGAUAGCUGUUGUUGUUAGCAAACAGUUCAAAGUGUGACUGGUUUUUGUAGUUAUCAUGCUAGGAUCACCUUCAAUCUCAAUUGAGAACAACGGAAAAUGUCUUCACACAAUAAUAACCUGCCGUGUAAGUAUCGAUUGAAGGUUAAUCCUUUCUGGGAUUCAUAGCCAUAAAUGAAGCUUGAAUAGUACUCUGCGUUGCAAGAAACAAGUAUAAAUGAACUUCCUUUGUCUACUUGUGGAUUAAUCUAAUGAACCAAUUUUUCUGAACUGCAGAGGAGCUCUUGUUUAUGUUAGAAACUCAUAUUACUUGCUAUUCGAUACUUAUUCUACCAUUCAUCUUUCUGCAAGAAUUUGACAUGUAUCAUAGAUUUAAAUUAAUUGAAUAUCUAAUGUAGGUGCGGCGGGGAGCAGAUAGAGCUGAGGUUUACAGUAUGGCAUUCUCUUCAACUGCCCAGUGGCUAGCAGUAUCAAGUGACAAGGGCACUGUCCAUGUUUUUGGGCUUAAGGUUAACUCAGGAUCCUUAGGAAAUGACAAGUCCCAUGGUGCAUCUGAUGCCAAUCUUGCUGUUGCAUCAUCCGGCUUAUCUCUUUCUUUCAUCAAGGGUAAGGUGCCUUUUCUAGAAUAUGACUUGAGGCUGACCAUUUUUCUUGAUUUUGAAUAAACAGGUCAAUUGAGUUAUAAAUAUGUGAGGUUGGGAGGCUAAUUAUACCGACUCAAGCAAAAUGCCAAACUCUAUUAAAUGGGUUGCACAAGGCUGUAUGAUAAUUAGGUUGUGUUUAAUUUCAUUGUUUUAACCUAAUUAUCAUUCAUGUCAUGUUUUUCUUAUGUCGAAUAACUAGUUUUGACACAACAUGAACAUGAUCUAGUAACACGAAUUGACACCCCUGGCUAUUAUGUGAAUAUGCAUACGCAAAGUUAAAAUAGGCUUCACUGCUUGAUCUCCAUGGUUCCAAGACCACAUAUUGGAUGGAACUUUAAUAAUACAGUUUUGUUUUUGAUAAGCAAAACUGUAUUAUCAUCGGGCCUUGUAUGUGUACUCUUGAAUGCAACUGUAUCCACUUCUCUCCUUUUGAAUGCAACUGCUUUCUCUUGGUUCCUGUUACUGGAUGGUGCUUACUAGAGUAUCAACUAAUGGAAGUGAAGAAUAGGAGAGAUUAGGCCAUGGGGUUCAGGAUUCUAUUUAUUUAUUUAUCAGUUUUUGGAUAAUCAUCAUGGGCAUGUCUAUUGCGUUUCUUAUUGAACAGAAGCUUUGAAGUUCUAUCCUUUUGAUUCUAAUUCUGACUAGGUUUUCAUGUGCAGGAGUGCUGCCCAAGUAUUUCAGCUCUGAGUGGUCGGUUGCUCAGUUCCGCCUUCAUGAGGGUUCUCAGUAUAUUGUUGCAUUUGGUCAUCAGAAGAACACAGUGGUAAUUCUGGGAAUGGAUGGAAGGUAAGAGAUAUUCUUAACAGAAGUUUGUGAGAAGAGUUGAUCUGAAAUGGAAUCAUGAUAAGCAAUUGAAUUGAAUUUGAAUGCAGCUUCUAUAGAUGUCAGUUCGAUCCUGUGACUGGGGGAGAGAUGACACAGCUGGAGUAUCACAACUUCCUUAAACCAGAAGAAGCUUUCUAAUGGAGAUCUAGGAUAUUAUCUGCAUGCCCAAUUUCCUAGCUAUAUAUGACAUCCCUCUCUCUCUGGGUCUUUGUGCCCUUUGUCCCCUUUUCCCCUUCUAGGUGUGGCCUAUGGGUCCAUUAUGGUGUAAAUAUACGAGUAUAGAUAGGUCAAAGUUUAAGACUAAUUUACCAUUAACAAGGAAAAAUGAAAUUUAAUGAAAAAAAAAAAAAAGAAGAGAGAUUAGUACUCAUUUUUCAUACUUGUCUUCAUAUUUGCCAUUGUGUGGACGGGUUUAUUUGGACAACCUUUUUUUAUAAUUUAGAUUACCAACCUUCCUUAUUUAAUAUCAACCAAAAAAAUAUUUUAUACAAUAUUCUUUAUAAAAAACGAGACUUUUCUAUAAUCUUGAGGCAAAUUCCAUUAUACCAUAAAUGGAAUUUGCCUAUUUAUCAUGCCUAUAUCUAUGAAUGAGAAAAAUCAUUUCAUUAUACCAUAAAAUCAAAUGCAAUUAUCAAAACACCUAAUGUUUCUCCACUUCUUAUAUCCACCGUAAACUAUGAGCCUCCUACUCUACUUGGUAUAUCUUUAUCCAAUUUAAAUAGUUUUUAAAUAUUAAUCUUUAUUCCAUAAUUUUUUCCUCCCCUAACCUAAAAUAUUUAUAAUGAUAUUCUUAACAAUUUUUUUAUUAUAUAUAAUAAAAUCUAAUAUUACAAUAAUAUAUUAAAAGUCCUCACUCCAUCACAAUACUUAAUUUUUUUCUAAGCAAUUAAUUCUCUAUUCUUUCGAUUUUUUUGCUUUUAACUACCAUUGGGCAAUUACAUUUUUAAAUAUAAAUUUCAAAGUACACGUUUAUUAGAAUCCUGUUAAGAAAUACAAAACAUGUUGUGGACCCCGCGUUUCGAUCUAUCUCAAUGCGUUUCCCACUCAAUGGCGAGCUCGAUUUUUAUUUUAUUAGAAAAAAUGAUUUUUAUCGAUUAAGAAAAUGACUUGGAGUCGCCACUUAUUUUUGUUUUAUUAUUAAAGGGUAAACAAAAUAAGAAAGAAAAACCCUAAGUGUGACUCCUUAUUUUGGAAAAGGCGGUCUGUGAAAAACCGGAUCGGGUUCGGGGGUCAGGUUACUUCUCGGGAAGGUAUGGUAAAGACCGUAGCACCCCUCUAAGUCCCUAAAGUCGGGUCUCUACUAAUAAAAUGAAGCUGACAUGACAACCAAUGAGAAAGUCAAUGAAUACCUAGGACGAAUCAUGCACAUACGAGAAUUAAAACAUGCAAAUAAAAUGAUUAGGAUGCGAGUGGAUGUGUACCUGGACCGUGAACGAUCAAUGCGCUAUCAUAAAACAGGGUUAGUGAGCAAUGAACAAAAUAUAAUUAAGCGCAUAACAUGGAACAAAAUAAAUCAAACACGCACGAUAAGUAAAUCAAUCAAACAAUCAAUCAAUCGUCAAUUCACAUAUGUGGGGCCCCCACCAAAGCCCGUUUAUUUUUGCAUGAAUUAAUUCCAUAAUUUCCAUUAUUCGGAGUUACAGAAUUGAAUCUAUGCUUAUUUUUAAAACAUUUUAAAAGAUCAUGAAAGAUUUAAAAAAAUUGCUUGCCGAAUAGAAAAUGGAAGCAAAUUUUAUUAAAAAGAGAUUUCAAGUGAUUCUAAAAAAAAACCUAAAGGUGAAAAUUAAAAAUAAAUAAAUAAAUAAAUUAUUUGAUAAAAAUGGAGUUUGGAAAAUUAACAAAGAAACUAGAAAUCGGGAAAUUAUGUGGAAAAUGGGAGUUUUAGGACUUAAAAAUAAAUCUAAAGAUGAAAAUUCGAAAAGCAAAAAUUGUUUGAAGGAUUUGGAAAUUUGACAUUAUAAAAAAAAAACAAUUGGAGGGAUUAUUAAUAAAAUGAUGUUCAGGAAAAUUAAUUUGGAAAUCAUAGGAACAGGAAGUGGGUGAUAACACGUGGCUUCCGAUUUACUGCCAUUGCCACUAUACCCACCAUAGUCACCAAGCCCAUAGUCAAUGCCUCCAAGUGCUCGGUAGGAAAUAGGCCCAAAACACUAAGACGUGCCCCAGAGUUAGAGAAGAUGCUGGAGAGAUCUUUGAUCAAGCCACUUCACCAGAUUUAUGGCGAUAGAUCUUUCCGAAGACAUGAAGAACGGUGACAAAGCCGAUAAAGCAAAGGUUCAUCACGAGAACCACCGUUGGAGUAAUCUUCAAGCCCGGAUCGUCAUCGGUGUAGAACAAGAGCAUGUUGCUCUCGCUGCUGCCACUGCCGCACCCUCCGGAGCUCUGAAACGACAGUGCGUGUGAGGAGAUUGACAACGACGCCGUCGAAGACAACCGGUCUACAUAACCCUCCAACAAGCUUCGUCCUGAAGCUACUUCUGCCGCGGUGCUUUCCACAUGUCGUCCAUACAUCCAGUGACCCGAAUCAGCGCCACCUCGUCCUCAACUCCAACGCAGCUGAAUCUCACGCUGCUGUCCAGUUUGACCUGCGUCGGAAAGAACGACGUUGGGGGCCACGCAGGCAUCGACGGUGAUCUUCGGGAGCCACUGCCCCAGGGGAAUUAUCCUUCUCCGUCCUUUUUUUGAGCCUUCAACACUUUCUACAGCAAAAGUCUCCUCAACUUUUGAUGGCCCCCACAUGUACCAGUUGAGGCUAUUUUAUGAAUUUCNNNNNNNNNNNNNNNNNNNNNNNNNNNNNNNNNNNNNNNNNNNNNNNNNNNNNNNNNNNNNNNNNNNNNNNNNNNNNNNNNNNNNNNNNNNNNNNNNNNNAUUCAAAACAAGAUGUCCAAUACUCCAAAAGAACACCAAAAAAACAGAGAAGAAAGUGAAGAAAACAGAGUGCGUGCAAGAGAUGAUAAUACCAUUAAACCAAACUUUACUUCAUGAAGAUCGGAGAGCUUAAAACAAUCUGGUGGGUUAAGUGAAUGGUUUUAACACAUAAACAAACAACAUCGACACCAUGUGACUCACACAGGAAUAAACAAAAAUCAAGCAAGCAGGGAUGAAAACAUGCUUAAGAUCUUAAACAGUCAAAAUGAACAUUUCAAAUAUUAGGAAAGGAGUCAAAUAUGGUUGUGAAAAGGAAAAACCUGAAGUCGAAGACAACCAAAAUUUGGAUGACUCCUUUUCUCUCUGUGACUGAAAUCCCACCUUCUCGUUCUACUCCCUGAGCUGAGAACUCUCCUCUCAACUCCAAACUCACUCCAGACCAGCCUCUCUUCACUCUCCCCCUCCUCUCUGACUCUCUCUCUCUAGCUAAACUCCUCUAAGCCUUCCCUCCUCCUCAAAAUAUCUCUAACGGACUCUGAAAAGCACUCCCUACUCCAGCUGCCAGAGACGCUCCUCCAUUCACGGCUUCCAGAUUCCCAUGCAACGUGUCCCCUUUUGAUUGGCUUCCCAAACCACUAUUAUGAUUCUCUCAUGGCUUCUCAGGUGUUGACACGUGGCUGACCAAGGCUCUUCCACAUGGUAAAAUUGAGCUGCAAGGUAGGAAUGACCUAAAAGGGGGUCUACAAAUAUGCCCCUCUUCGGUAGAGUUCACGAGUGUAAAGAACAUGAACACUGGAGUGAAAAGUAAGUGUGAAUAGUGAGUGGAAUGAAGUGAACUCUACCGAAGAACCAAGGAGACCCCCAUAGAGACACUAGUGAGAUAUAAACUCACUCAGACUAACAGAUAAACAACGAGGCUCUAAUCCUAAAAGGAAAUGAUGUCUCAAAAAUGCCUCUGCAGCCACACUAAGGAUCCAAGCUCCCUCUAAGACGUCUCCAAAAGUGACUCGAAGAUCAAUGUCAAAGAUGAGUAACAGUCGAACCACCCUAGAGUACAAGAAAGAAUGUGCCCGAAGGAAACUACCCUAUGUGAACUACAUGAGAAGACUAGGUGUAGGGUGCCCAACAACAUGACAAAAAUACGCAUCACGGAAUCAAAGAACUAUGUCAUGUGCAAUGGAAUGGGAAGUCUAGAAGAGCAAUGACGAUCAAGCAAUGAGCUCCAGGUAACUGAGUGAGGAAAAUGACUCUGAAAAACCAAAAUGGAGGAAUAAUGGCGACUCAGAAUGCAAAGAAGACUCAACUAUGCAGGUGUGACUCGAAGGUGAACAAGACUCAACUCAAUCCGACAAAACAAUGACCGAUCGAUAUAGGUGCGGUCCCGACUCAAACUGAACUGAUAGGAAGAUGGUCGAUCGAUAUAGGUGCGGCCCAGACUCAAACUGACGUGAUGAAUGACCGAUCGAUAUAGGUGCGGUCCCGACUCGAACUGAACUGAUAGGAAGAUGGCCGAUCGAUAUAGGUGCGGCCCCGACUCAAACUGACAUGAUGAAUGACCGAUCGAUAUAGGUGCGGUCCCGACUCGAACUGAACUGAUAGGAAGAUGGCCGAUCGAUAUAGGUGCGGCCCCGACUCAAACUGACAUGAUGAAUGACCGAUCGAUAUAGGUGCGGUCCCGACUCUAACUGAACUGAUAGGAAGAUGGCCGAUCGAUAUAGGUGCGGCCCCGACUCAAACUGACAUGAUGAAUGACCGAUCGAUAUAGGUGCGGUCCCGAAACUAAACUGAUAGAAAGAUGGCCGAUCGAUAUAGGUGCGGCCCCGACUCAAACUGACAUGAUGAAUGGCCGAUCGAUAUAGGUGCGGUCCCAGAAACUAAACUGAUAGGAAGAUGGCCGAUCGAUAUAGGUGCGGCCCCGACUCAAACUGACAUGAUGAAUGACCGAUCGAUAUAGGUGCGGUCCCAGAAACUAAACUGAUAGGAUGAAUGACCGAUCGAUAUAGGUGCGGUCCCAGAAACUAAACUGAUAGGAUGAAUGACCGAUCGAUAUAGGUGCGGUCCCAGAAACUAAACUGAUAGGAUGAAUGACCGAUCGAUAUAGGUGCGGUCCCAGAAACUAAACUGAUAGGAAGAUGGCCGAUCGAUAUAGGUGCGGCCCCGACUCGAACUGAACUAAUAGGAAGAUGGCCGAUCGAUAUAGGUGCGGCCCCGACUCAAACUGACAUGAUGAAUGACCGAUCGAUAUAGGUGCGGUCCCAGAAACUAAACUGAUAGGAUGAAUGACCGAUUGAUAUAGGUGCGGUCCCAGAAACUAAACUGAUAGGAAGAUGGCCGAUCGAUAUAGGUGCGGCCCCGACUCAAACUGACAUGAUGAAUGACCGAUCGAUAUAGGUGCGGUCCUAGAAACUGAACUGAUACGAAGAUGGCCGAUCGAUAUAGGUGCGGCCCCGGAUUCUAACUGAACUGAUAGGAAGAUGGCCGAUCGAUAUAGGUGCGGCCCCGACUCAAACUGACACGAUAAUGACCGAUCGAUAUAGGUGCGGCCCCGACUCGAACUCAAACUGAUAAGAUGAAUGACCGAUCGAUAUAGGUGCGGUCCCGACUCAAACUGACACGACGAAUGACCGAUCGAUAUAGGUGCGGUCCCGACUCGAACUGAACUGAUAGGAAGAUGGCCGAUCGAUAUAGGUGCGGCCCCGGACUCUAACUGACACUGAUGAUGAUGAAUGACUUGGUCAAGUGACCCAAAACCAAAGGAUGACUCAGAUAAUAAUGCAAACAAACUCGAUCGGAGGGGAUAUGCCCCAGUAUGACAACUCAUGCGGAUCGACAACUAGGUCGACAGAUAAUGAAGCCUGUGAAAGGUCCGAUGAUCUCGGAGAAGGAGGGUAUGCCCCAGUAUGCAACUCAAGGGAAUCAACAACUAGAUCAAAAGUGAGUGAAACCGGUGGAAGGUUCAAUGCUCUCGGAGAAGGGGUAUGCCCCAGUAUGCAAUGACGAACAGACAGAGAUGCAAAAUGCCUCAAAACUACUGUACUCUGAAAUAUGCUCAUCCAUCAUGUAAUGAAAAUGUCCAACCUCAAAUAGGUAAUGCCAAACAGGACUAUGUAUAGUGAUACCAUGCUGACUAAACAGAAAUGACUGACGAAUAAAAACAAUGAUGACCAAUGCCCGAAAUGUGAAAAACAAGCAAAUCAACACUCAACAUGCCAACUGUCAAAAUGAAAGCAUCAACACUAAUAAGUCAGCAAUCUGUCAGGCCCUGCCAUCAUGGAAGAUGUUGAACCUAAAGUCCAAAAGAUAUAUGAAAGCACAACCAAGGUGAUCGAGGACUGAUCUACAUCUCCUCAUAAUCGAGAAAGGGGUGAGGUCAUGUGCCAUGGUAAGAUGUGAAGGAUAAAAGAAGGUGAUGGUCAGGCUCCGGUAUGAGAGAAGGUAUGAAAGUAUCCAUGGUGAAACGUCUGAGUAUGAAAUGAAAGGUAGGGAGAUAUCCGAGAUCAUCCAAGUAUGCCGAGAAGACUAAACCCAAGGUGUCGAUAACUCCAUAACCCAUCGUAAGUAGCAAUCACAAACAGGAAGUCAAGCCUCAAUGUCAAAACCUCCAACAAGGUGGCUAUGCCCCAGUAUGCAAUGAGGACAACAUGAAAUAAUCCAAUGAUCUCCCUAUCACUCGUCAGGUGCUCCAAUGUCAAGAACCAAUAUGAUCUCCCUCCAAAAGAUGGACAUGCCCCAAUGUAAAGGAUCCAAAUAGGGUGGCUAUGCUCCAAUGAAAAAUGCUCUCCGUCCCGGCUAUGCCCCAGUGUAAAGUAGUGUAUCCGAGUCAGCAAAUCAAUCAACCUCUACUCCCGGUGCCAAAACGGAAACAUCUCAACAUAAUCCAUAUGAAUCAGAAUCCCCGGGCUCCAUGAAUGUGAAUGCGGUGGCUAUGCCCCAGUAUAAACCAACUGAAGUGACUAUGCUCCAAUGACCAAUCAAAGUCCAUCACCAAUGAGAGGGCUACGCCUCAAAUAAAAUCGUCAUCUCAAAAACCAACCAUCGAUGAGUAGAGUGUGUCCCAAUGCAGAGUAUCGAGUAGAGCGACCGUAUCUCCAAUAAAAACGCCCUCUGAAAUGGCUAUGCCCCAGUAUAGGGUCAUCCCACAACUCCUGAUCCAUCGUAAUCCAAGUGAAGAAGCGAACUGACUAUGCCUCAGUGCAAGGCACCAUCCAGAAAGAAAAUGUCAUCAAUGAGCGGGGUAUGCCCCAGUGUAGAUAACGUCGCCUCUGAAAGUCCAUCACCGAUAAGAGGGGUAUGCCCCAGUGUAAAUCAUCAUCUCAACUCCACAUCCAUAAUGCUCUGAGAGAUAAUCACCGACCAAGCUCGAGUAUUGCCCAUGUGUGAGCCGUCAAACACAAUGUGAAGUAAUGGCCUCAGGGUGGUCUUCAGACAUGGGACGUAACGUAGGGCAAGGUAAUAGGGUGAAAGAAACGAAAGGAAACUAGGCUAAAAAAUCCCAAUGAUACAAUCCCCAUACCCCUCGUGCAUGAUAUGCAAUGCGCAGAAAAUGUCAUGAGUCCCGGACCUAGGGGUCCCCACACGAAAAGUGAUGAUAAAUGAAUGGAUACAUCGAAUAAGCAAGAAUAAAGUGUGGAUGCUGAACCCAUGUCAAACAUCAAACAGAAUGAGAAUAGAAUGAGAUAAGAUGAAAUGGAGUGAAACGGAGGGAUAAAAUAAAGAUGAAAGAAGGCGAAGAGAUAGAAAAAUGAGUGAUGGUCAACCUGCAUCAAAGCAUGGAAAGUAGUCACAUCCGAAAUAGACGGAAUGAUGGAUAGAGCAAGGAUCCAGAGAUACAGAAGAAAAGUCGCUCGCAUCUCUCACAAAAAACGAAUGGGCGAAUCAUACUCUCACCCAAAAUAUACAUCAAGAUGAAUCUAAAAAAUAAGCUUUCAUACGAGCUCUCUCUAUCAUAUGAACUCAAUGAAACAACUUGGCACGUCCAUACACAUGCCUGAUGAAGAAUGAUACAAUGAAUAAUGCGCUAUCAUCAAUCAAUUUUUUUAUUUUUUUAUUUUAUUAUUUUUUUAUUUUUUAUUUUUUUUUUAUUUUUUUAUUUUUUUUAUUUUUAUUUUUUUUUUAUUUUUUUAUUUUUUUUAUUUUUUAUUUUUUUUUAUUUUUUUGCGCGUACGCUGAUCAAUAGUGAAUGAACUCCCAUGAAAAUACAUACCCAAAUGAAUAAACUCUCUCCAUGUACUGAUGUAACAUGAAUCCUCACUAACAAGACAACCUCUCAAAUAAGAUCCCUGGACCAUUGCCCAUAAGGCGAACGGGGGAGGAACGUGACAAUCCUCCAUGCAGUGACGUGUGAAAAACCACCACUCAAGGUGAAACACGGAUAAUGUCGAGUAAGCGAUGAUGAAAGAAAAGACAGAGAACGAAUAUCACAAGUGGUGAUAUAUGAUAUAAGAAAAAUAGUGAUGAAAUGAUGUCCAAGUGGAAAAUAUCACAGUGAAAAGUGAAGAAUGAUGCCUGAAUAUGUAUGUCAGGUUUGGAACUCAUGACGUAUCCAAUCAUAGCAUGCAAGCGCUACAGGGUCCCUAACCCGGUGUAAUAGGUAAAUGAGGUGAUGAAAGAAAAGGCUAUGUGCUCGUGUGAAGCUCAAAGGGCUAGCAAUGGAUAACUCUAUAUGUGAGGGUGAUAAAGUAAAUAGGCUCAUGAAAUGAUGGCCACCCAUCCUUUAACCACAACCUCGAACAUCGUGCUUUUGAGAUCUCACAUGGUCAAUACUAAAGACUGGCAUCCAUCCAACAUAGUCAUGGCGACUCAUCUGAAAUCGCGUAAAAGCCCUCACUGAUGCUCUGUGAUAACCGUCAAUAUCCUCGGAUAAUCACCUCACUCUAUCAUCAUAAUCCACUCACCAUCGUCUCAUAAAAUCACCAUCUCUAAUCAUCCCGACUCUCUGAAGUCAUGUGCAAUGACUCAAAUCUGGAUGCUCCAUGACGUCUCCUCUACCUCAACAACAUCGUCAAACAAUCAAGCCACUCUCUCAUCAUGAUCCAUCUAUCAUCGUGUAAAGCUCACCUCGGGUCUAACCAUCUCGGACUCUACCUGGUCAGAUCCAUGAAAUGAUGGAAAGGAUAGGCAAUGGUACUGUAGCCUGAUAAGGCGAACAGGGAUGGUAAAGUCGUACAGUAAUACCAAAGGGUGGUGUCAUGUCAGGCUCAAAAUGGGUAGGUCAUCAAGUCUGAAAAGGCUAAGGUAUGGAUGUGGGUAUGGUACCACUCUAAUCAGAAGGUGAAAUGGGUCACAGCCUCAAACUCCCUAGGUCGAUCUCCUGAUCCUAGGUCAAUAGACUCAAUAUCCUCCAUGAUAGGUCAGACCCAAGUGAUCGUGAUGUAAGUGAAAGAUGUAUCAUAUCGAAAGCAUAACACGCAUCAACGCAAGAUAUGUAAAACACACUCCCGAGAAAAAUGCCACAAUACUCAAGAUAAAAUAUCAUAUCACUAAAUGAACCAACGAGUACAUCAUGUGUGAAAUGGUAAAGGACUACAAACAACUGGACUCUCAACAUGAAACUAAAAACAAUGACCCUAAACCGAAAACAGGACUCAACAAAACAAAAACAACUCUGAUGAACUGAAAACUGGACUCAACAAAAUGGAAAUGAGUCUGAUGAUGACCAUAAUCAAAAUGAGAAAUGCUCUGAACUGAACUGCUACCAAGUGAUGUACCCAUGUCGACUGACCUAAGUCCUCAUCCUGGAAGAUCCCAGAGCGCCAUAUGCCAACAGUACCAUCAACAUCCAAAUCGGUCUACUGAAGACCAGGAGGAGGAGGAACUGCAUGUGUAGAAUGUGUAGGCAGGGGAUUGGUGGUCACACUUGGCCUAGCCAAGUCAACCACCCCUGAAUCGAUCAAAUCCUGUAUCGCAUGAUGGAGUGCUGAACAACGCUCAGUAUCGUGCCCCGGAAUCUGAUGAUACAAGCAAUGCUCAUGUAAACGGAAAUGAGGAGGAAUAGGAUGGGGCAAAGGCCUCGGUGCCAAAGGAACAAUCACUCCAGCGUCUCUGAGCUUCUCAAAAGCUCUAGUCAAAGUCAUACCCAACGGAGUAAACUGUCUCGCGGGCCUCUGUGCAUAUGGCCUAGGUAGCGGGUGAGUAGUGGCUCUCGGAUGUGGUGGUCGCGGCUGCACGCUAGUCUGAGCAAUGUAAGGCUCCUGAGCAUAAUCCAACUGAUACUGAUACUGUGGAAGAGAGAAAGGAGCUCUGACUGUAGGAGGCCUAUAAGCUGAGUGAAGCGCGGGCCUCCGGUGCUGAUAGCUAAUAACACCAACCUCUCCAGAUCUACCCAAUGGUCCAAUCAGCUUCUUCCCCUUACUGUCAGGGGAAGAAGUAGUAUCUGUCCAUAAUCCUCGAGCAAUGGCCUCCUCAACACUGAAAGCUGCCUGAACCAAACUCCUGAGAUCCUGAAAUGGGAUGCCCACAAGACGUCUCGCGAACCUCGGCUGUAGGUUCCGAAGAACCAUAUCAAUCUGAUCCUGCUCCUUAGGCCGGUCUACCAUACCAGCCACCUUUGCCCUCCAACGAGUGACAAAUGAAGAAAUAGACUCCUCUGGCCUCUGUCUAGUGGCCUCCAACUCUCGUCUGGAUACAUCAAUAUCGGCACUGAAAGCGAACUGAGUCAGGAACUCACGAGCCACGUCUUCCCAGGUGCGGAGUCUCGAAGGCUCAACUGAAGCAAACCAUCUCUGAGCUGCUCCACUAAGUGACAUCGGGAAGAGGGCCACCAACUGCGCAUCAUCUAUACCAUGUGCUCUCAUGACCGUGCUGUAUAGCCUCAAGUGGAUCUUGGGACAACCAAUCCCACUGUAACGCUCAAUGUCUGGCAUGCGAAACUUGGCGGGCAAGCUAGCCGCCGGUAUGCCAUCCCUGUCAUCCCAAGUCAAACCUCCGUCCUGCAAUCUGAUCUGUCUCAUCAUGGACUCAAGCCUCUCAACCUUGGCCUCCUGCUCGGCCAAUCGAGUAUCCUCAAUAGUAGGAACCAUGGGAGGCGGCACUGUGACAGUAGGUGGUGGAAUGGUCUCAUAAUGAUCUGCCAGAUGGAACGGAGUACCAAGUGAAACCCUAGGUGGACGAGUCUGUGCUGUCUGAGAUGCAUGAGGAACUGUCUCAUCAAUGACCAUGCCAACCGGCUGGGGAUCCUGGCGAGAACUCUCUAUCUGAUCCAAGCGCUUACUGACUCCGGCCAUGAACUCCUGAAUGGAAGCGAGUGUGGAAGCUAGCUCGUCUGACAUCUCAACUGAACUGUCUGAACUCAAAUAUGAAUCUGAUCUGAUCAAUCGUCCUCCAACUCUCCUCCAAGAAUGUGACUCCAGACUCAACCGACUCCUAAACUGACUUCCUACAAUGCAAACAAGAUGGAUGAAGGACAUGAGAUGAAACUCUAAAAGACGACAGUACAACAUACAAGCACAUGGUCCAGAGGUAGCAAUCAGAAAUCUGGAUAUAUGACGAGAACUCUGGAGUCAUAAAGGUGUCCACUGUGAGAUGGCUACAAAUGUGACUAGAGAAUUCCUAUCAAUAAUCCAAGAUGAAAGAGGUGUGAAAAACACACUAUCACGAGAUCGGUACUCCAUCAAUAAACAUAUACCUUUAACUCAACUUCCAACCCAAGCUCCAUAAGAGAAAAAAUGAUAGGGUGAUCAAGGCGAAUCUCUCGAAAAAAGUGUGGAUGUGAAAAUGCGCCUUUCACCUUUCCGUAAUGAAAAUAUGAGCAUCGGGUUGAAAAUUGAAUCAAGUAUCCAACGAAGAAAUGAAGUACUCAGCCCGUGAUAGGUGUACAAUGCAAAAACAAGAUGAUCAAUGAACAUAUCCCAAAGUAUCAAGUGAGUGACAACAAAGUGAAGGGGUGUGUCGAGCCAAGAAAUGAGAACGAAAUCCCUAGGGAGAAAACAUGCUAAACUCCUUGAGUAAAAAAACAUAAUCUAAGGUGACAAGGCGAAAGGUGAUCCAACCGAUACUCAAACAAAUAACGAUCUCCGAGUACUCUCAACUGGAGACUAAAAAGAGGGAAUACUGGAUCCGAACUGUAACUAAAGAGGCUCCGAAGGCCCUCAGAUGCACCCACGUGUGAGGAAGGAAGUCCUACUCGAAGGAUCUACGGCUCAACCUACGAGGUCAGGUGGCUCUAAAUGGAUAUGGGUGGACUUUAAAAAAAUCCCGAGCAGAAGCGAUCAUACCCUCCAGCGGUACGCAACCCUCUGCACACCUCAGAAAAGACGGGGCGCUUCCAUGCAAGGUGGACAUCGCAUCCACACAUGCACUACCUCGACAUCCCAAGGGGUUUCCUAUGGUGAAUUCUCUCAAACUCUCAACGCUCAAUAGUCAACUAGAGUGCACAGUAAUCGGUGUGGGUGCAUCCGAAACCCUAAGAAGAUAAAGCAGAAGAUGAGACACACUGGUCGCAUAAAUAUCCAUGAAACCUAGCUCGGGGCUAUACAGGUCUUCAAUGAUCGGACUCUAAUCGACAACAAUGCGCCGCUCGCCUCCAGAAUGCUCCCAAACAUCAGUAUAGCCCGUCGCUGGACCCUACUCCUAACCUCUAUCUCGGUCAGAGUACAAGCACACACAAGGCCUCACACUUGCAAAAGUGAGAACCGUAAUGAAGGAAGUGACCGAGACUAGAGGGUGGGAGACAAGGAGAUAGAUAUGCGACCCACAUAAACAAACGGCACACAAUCAUGCAAAAGGAGGGCAGUCAUGCGACACGCAAUCAAACAAAUCUCAGAUAUAUCAUCAAUGUACACACACAAAAUAAGCGAGAAUACGACGAUCAGAUGAAUAAUGAUACAAAGACAACACGCUUAAAGAUGAUCAAAAUAAUAUACCAACAAGUGGAUCAGCAUGUCGAGUCGAAUGAUAUACAGUGGUGAGUGUAUGCAUGUGAAGUGAUUAGAACAAUCAUGGCAAAAUCAGAGUAAAUGUGCUAAGCAAUGCAAUAUGAUCAAUCAAUAUAAAUCAGCAAUGUCGAUGUAGCAAACAUAUAUAAUCAGUGAAGCACGAAAAAUCACGGCCUCAGAAGCCUCAAUCAGGAUAAAAUCAAUCAUCAUAAUCAACAUGUCAAAAGUCUCGAACAGAUAUAAAAUCCGAGUAUACAUCAAAUAUCCUCAAUGUGCAAUCAAGAAAUGGGUACCCAUUGAUCGUCCAAUCGAAUGCCACGUUUGCUUCAUUCUAAGUUCAAGCUUGACCCUCUAAAAAAAAUCCCCAGUGGAGUCGCCAUUUUGUGGACCCCGCGUUUCGAUCUAUCUCAAUGCGUUUCCCACUCAAUGGCGAGCUCGAUUUUUAUUUUAUUAGAAAAAAUGAUUUUUAUCGAUUAAGAAAAUGACUUGGAGUCGCCACUUAUUUUUGUUUUAUUAUUAAAGGGUAAACAAAAUAAGAAAGAAAAACCCUAAGUGUGACUCCUUAUUUUGGAAAAGGCGGUCUGUGAAAAACCGGAUCGGGUUCGGGGGUCAGGUUACUUCUCGGGAAGGUAUGGUAAAGACCGUAGCACCCCUCUAAGUCCCUAAAGUCGGGUCUCUACUAAUAAAAUGAAGCUGACAUGGCAACCAAUGAGAAAGUCAAUGAAUACCUAGGACGAAUCAUGCACAUACGAGAAUUAAAACAUGCAAAUAAAAUGACUAGGAUGCGAGUGGAUGUGUACCUGGACCGUGAACGAUCAAUGCGCUAUCAUAAAACAGGGUUAGUGAGCAAUGAACAAAAUAUAAUUAAGCGCAUAACAUGGAACAAAAUAAAUCAAACACGCACGAUAAGUAAAUCAAUCAAAACAAUCAAUCAAUCGUCAAUUCACAUAUGUGGGGGCCCCACCAAAGCCCGUUUAUUUUUGCAUGAAUNNNNNNNNNNNNNNNNNNNNNNNNNNNNNNNNNNNNNNNNNNNNNNNNNNNNNNNNNNNNNNNNNNNNNNNNNNNNNNNNNNNNNNNNNNNNNNNNNNNNGGAAAAUGGGAGGUUUUAGGCCUUAAAAAUAAAUCUAAGGAUGAAAUUCGAAAGGCAAAAAUUGUUGAAAGGAUUUGGAAAUUGGCCAUUAUAAAAAAAAAACCAUUGGAGGGAUUAUUAUUAAAAGAUGUUUCAGGAAAAUUAAUUUGAAAAUCAUAGGAACAGGAAGUGGGUGAUUAACACGUGGCUUCCGAUUUACUGCCAUUGCCACUAUACCCACCAUAGUCACCAAGCCCAUAGUCAAUGCCUCCAAGUGCUCGGUAGGAAAUAGGCCCAAAACACUAAGACGUGCCCCAGAGUUAGAGAAGAUGCUGGAGAGAUCUUUGAUCAAGCCACUUCACCAGAUUUAUGGCGAUAGAUCUUUCCGAAGACAUGAAGAACGGUGACAAAGCCGAUAAAGCAAAGGUUCAACACGAGAACCACCGUUGGAGUAAUCUUCAAGCCCGGAUCGUCAUCGGUGUAGAACAAGAGCAUGUUGCUCUCGCUGCUGCCACUGCCGCACCCUCCGGAGCUCUAAAACGACAGUGCGUGUGAGGAGAUUGACAACGACACCGUCGAAGACAACCGGUCUACAUAACCCUCCAACAAGCUUCGUCCUGAAGCUACUUCCGCCGCGGUGCUUUCCACAUGUCGUCCAUACAUCCAGUGACCCGAAUCAGCGCCACCUCGUCCUCAACUCCAACGCAGCUGAAUCUCACGCUGCUGUCCAGUUUGACCUGCGUCGGAAAGAACGACGUUGGGGGCCACGCAGGCAUCGACGGUGAUCUUCGGGAGCCACUGCCCCAGGGGAAUUAUCCUUCUCCGUCCUUUUUUUGAGCCUUCAACACUUUCUACAGCAAAAGUCUCCUCAACUUUUGAUGGCCCCCACAUGUACCAGUUGAGGCUAUUUAUGAAUUUCAUGGUUCAGAUUUGCAUCCAUCUUAUCUGAUUAUUCAAUCUGUUCUAGCUUGACAACGUCCAGAUUAAGCGUCCACUUAUUGUCUUCUGAUGAGUCAAGCUAUAAUAACCAGAUUUCUUUGUCGAUGUCUAUUGAUUCGGAUACCUUCAGCACAACAGAUCAGAAAAACUUGUUGCCUCAACUAUAACCUCAGUGUAGCUGGAGGCUCAUAAUCCUGCAGCUUAUUGAAAAAAAGAUCCAGUGACUAAUCGAAAAACCUGCCCAUCAUAGGUCCGACCAGUUCUUCCUCUAAGCUACUCAACCUGAGACUUGGAGACAUAGGCAAGCUCUGGAGCUUCCUUUUUCCGAUUACUGGAAGCUCACAGAGUGACCUUCCUCAUUUCUUCAUUCUACAACAGCGAACUCUCUUUCUCAAAAGCACCCCAAUCCAAACGGCCAAAUUCAAAACAAGAUGUCCAAUACUCCAAAAGAACACCAAAAAAACAGAGAAGAAAGUGAAGAAAACAGAGUGCGUGCAAGAGAUGAUAAUACCAUUAAACCAAACUUUACUUCAUGAAGAUCGGAGAGCUUAAAACAAUCUGGUGGGUUAAGUGAAUGGUUUUAACACAUAAACAAACAACAUCGACACCAUGUGACUCACACAGGAAUAAACAAAAAUCAAGCAAGCAGGGAUGAAAACAUGCUUAAGAUCUUAAACAGUCAAAAUGAACAUUUCAAAUAUUAGGAAAGGAGUCAAAUAUGGUUGUGAAAAGGAAAAACCUGAAGUCGAAGACAACCAAAAUUUGGAUGACUCCUUUUCUCUCUGUGACUGAAAUCCCACCUUCUCGUUCUACUCCCUGAGCUGAGAACUCUCCUCUCAACUCCAAACUCACUCCAGACCAGCCUCUCUUCACUCUCCCCCUCCUCUCUGACUCUCUCUCUCUAGCUAAACUCCUCUAAGCCUUCCCUCCUCCUCAAAAUAUCUCUAACGGACUCUGAAAAGCACUCCCUACUCCAGCUGCCAGAGACGCUCCUCCAUUCACGGCUUCCAGAUUCCCAUGCAACGUGUCCCCUUUUGAUUGGCUUCCCAAACCACUAUUAUGAUUCUCUCAUGGCUUCUCAGGUGUUGACACGUGGCUGACCAAGGCUCUUCCACAUGGUAAAAUUGAGCUGCAAGGUAGGAAUGACCUAAAAGGGGGUCUACACAUGUCUUCGUAUAUCUUUAUCCAAUUUAAAUAGUUUUUAUAUAUUUAUCUUUAUCCAAUAACUUUUUCCUCCCCUAACCCAAAAUAUUUAUAAUGAUAUUCUUAAUAAUUUUUUUAUUAUAUAUAAAAAAGUCUAAUAUUACAAUAAUAUAUUAAGAGUCCUCGCUCAAUUACAAUACUUAAUUUUUUUCUAAGCAAUUAAUUCUCUAUUCCUCUGAUUUUUUUUUGCUUUUAACUACCAUUGGGCAAUUACAUUUUUAAAUACAAUUUUCAAAGUACACGUUUAUCAUAAUUAUAUCUUUAUCCAAUUUAAAUAGUUUUUAUAUAUUUAUCUUUAUCCGAUAACUUUUUCCUCCCCUAACCUAAAAUAUUUAUAAUGAUAUUCUUAACAUUUUUUUUAUUAUAUAUAAAAAAAUAUAAUAUUACAAUAAUAUAUUAAAAGUCCUCAACUCAAUUACAAUACUUGUUUUUUUUCUAAGCAAUUAAUUCUCUAUUCUUCCGAUUUUUUUUUGCUUUUAACUACCAUUGGGCAAUUACAUUUUUAAAUACAAAUUUCAAAGUACACAUUUAUCAUAAUUAUAUCUUUAUCCAAUUUAAAUAGUUUUUAUAUAUUUAUCUUUAUCCAAUAACUUUUUCCUCCCCUAACCUAAAAUAUUUAUAAUGAUAUUCUUAACAAAUUUUUUUAUUAUAUAUAAAAAAAUCUAAUAUUACAAUAAUAUAUUAAGAGUCCUCGCUUCCUUCCAAUUUUUUUUUUGCUUUUAACUACCAUUGGACAAUUACAUUUUUAAAUACGAAUUUCAAAGUACACGUUUAUCAUAAUCCUGUUAAGAAAUAUAAAGAUAUAUCUUUAUCCAAUUUAAAUAGUUUUAUAUAUUUAUCUCUAUCUGGUAAUUUUUUCCUCUCCUAAUUUAAAAUAUUUAUAAUGAUAUUCUUAACAAUUUCUUUAUUGUAUAUAAGAAAAAAUUAAUAUUAUAAUAAUAUAUCAACUGUACUCGCUCCAUUACAAUACUUAAUUGUUUUCUAAGCAAUUAAUUCUCUAUUCUUCCAAUUUUUUUUGCUUUUAACUACCAUUGGAGAAUUACGUUUUUAAAUACAAAUUUCAAAGUAUACGGUUUAUCAUAAUCUUGUUAAAAAAUACAAAACAUGUUCUUUAUCCAAUUUAAAUAGUUUUUAUAUAUUUAUCUCUAUUUGGUAAUUUUUUCCCCUCCUAAUCUAAAAUAUUUAUAAUGAUAUUCUUAACAAUUUCUUUAUUGUAUAUAAGAAAAUUUUAAUAUUAUAAUAAUAUAUCAACCGUCGCUCCAUUACAAUACUUAAUUUUUUUCUAAGCAAUUAAUUCUCCAUUCUUCCGAUUUUUUUUUUGCUUUUAACUAGCAUUGAGCAAUUACAUUUUUAAAUACAAAUUUCAAAGUAUAUGUUUAUCAUAAUCUUGUUAAGAAAUACAAAACAUGUCUUGGUAUAUCUUUAUCCACUUUAUAUAGUUUUUAUAUAUUUAUUUCUAUUUGAUAAUUUUUUCCUCUUCUAAUCUAAAAUAUUUAUAAUGAUAUUCUUAACAAUUUCUUUAUUGUAUAUAAGAAAAAUCUAAUAUUAUAAUAAUAUAUCAAAGUCCUUGCUCCAUUACAAUACUUAAUUUUUUUCUAAGCAAUUAAUUAUAUAUUCUUCCAAAUUUUCUUUUCUUUUUUUCUUUUAACUACCAUUGGACAAUUACAAUUUUAAAUACAAAUUUCAAAGUACACAUUUAUCAUAAUCCUAUUAAGAAAUACAAAACAUGUCAUAUAUGUUGUCUCUCAUUUUAAUAUUUGAUAUUAAAAUCAUAUUUAUAAUAAUUGAUUAAUAACAUGAAAAGGAUGUAUUCUAGAAGUCCUAAAAUUCAUUAUUAUCACAUAAAAUAAAUAUAAAUUUAAACUCCAAUUUUUGAAAAAUGAUAUUACAAAAUUAUGAUUUAGAGCUACGAUUGGAUGAUAAUUUUGCAAAAAUUUGUGGAGUAAGAGAUAAUUAUGAGUGUAAACAACUCGUGGAUUUGUAUUUGGAUUUGGAUUCAUCAUAUAUUUAUAUUUUUAGGGUUUUGAUAAAACCCUAAAAAUAUUUUGACUCCGAUUUAAUUAUCUUAAAUUGGUUGGACCUGAAAAUAAAUUGAGAAAUAGGCAGGAAUAGAAAAAUACAAGGCAAAGACGAGCUGUCCCAGUGGCGUGGAAAAAACUUCUUAACUUCUCUGAAUAACUGCCAAAUAUCACGAAGGCCCCAACAAACAUACUAUUAUUACGCACUUUGCUGUUGCAGAGUCGCACCUAAAUUCCUCUCAAAUUCCUGCUUCCUCCACCAAUGGCCACUCUCUCUGCCUUCUCUACUCCUUCUCCUCCAUGGCCAAAUCCUAACCCUAGCUCUGACCCUAACCCUAACGCUAAGUCAGACUUGCCUGAUCAUGAGGAGCGGUCGCAGAGAACCGAACUGGAGGAUGUCGAUUCGCCGCCGAAUUCUCGUCCUACUCAAAACUUUAACCCUAACAUCCAGGAUGGUCGUCUGUCUCCAUCGUCGGUUCCGUCUCUUCUCCACAUCUCGUUCAACCAAGACUACGGAUGCUUCGCGACGGGUACAGAUAGGGGGUUUCGCGUCUAUACGUGUGACCCCUUCCGUGAGAUAUUCCGGCGAGAUUUGGACCGCGGCGGGGGGAUUGGGGUUGUUGAAAUGCGGUUAGUGUCUAAUUUGAUGGCCUUGGUGGGCGGGGGCUCCGACCCUCAGUACCCGCUCAACAAGGUCAUGAUCUGGGACGAUUAUGAGAGUCGGUGCAUUGGCGAGCUCUCGUUUCGGUCGGAGGUUCGAGCAGUUCGUCUCCAGUUGGACCGGAUUGUGGUGGUGUUGGAGCAGAAGAUUUUCGUGUACAAUUUCGCGGACUUGAAGCUUUUGCAUCAGAUGGAGACGAUUGCGAAUCCGAAGGGGCUUUGCGCGGUUUCGCAGGUGGCUGGGUCUAUUGUGCUGGUGUGUCCCGGGUUGCAGAAGGGGCAGGUUAGGGUUGAACACUACGCGUCUAAAAGGACCAAGUUCAUCGCGGCCCAUGAAUCCAGAAUUGCGAGUUUUGCGCUCUCAAUGGACGGGCAGUUGCUUGCGACUGCAAGCUCUAAGGGGACUCUGGUCAGGAUUUACAACACAAUGGAUGGGGUAUUGCUCCAAGAGGUACGUAAUAGUUUUUCUCAUUCAGUGGAAAUUCUGAACUUUUAGUGGAUCAUAUGAAAUAGAGCAUCAAAUUUCUCGUUGAAAUGCAAUCUCUUGUUGAAUAUAGCUAUGGAUUUAUGAAAUUUGGUUGAUUUUGUGUGUGGAACUUGGUGGUUUGGAAAUUUCUUAAUUGCAUAAUUGUGGAUGCCCCGUGUAUGCCUCUCUUAGCAUGCCCUCAAAGCCUAAAUGAGAUUCUAGAACUGGGGAUUGAUAUGGUUGAAAUUUUAGUCUUCAGAAUUAUUUUCAUUUCAUAUUAUUUUGAAUUGACAUUGGUGCCUACAUUUUGAGGUGUGACAAAAUUAUCAUCACUCUUAAUUGAGCAAAUAUGUCUUCACAUGCAUAACCCAGCAUGCUGUAAUUGCUCAUAGAUCCUCUGGAAAGAUUGGGAAAUUUUACAUUGCAAUUCAAUCUGCUGCGCAAUUAAGAAACGUUAGGCUCAGUCCUUUGAAGCUGUCAAGCCAAAUAUGUCAGCUGAAUCUGGCCUAAGCUGAACCGGGAAACCUAAGUGGGUUACAGUGAAUUUACUUCUGAGGUGCCAAGUUACCAUGUUUGGGAGAGAAAAUAUGAACUAUUUGUUAGUUCCUCUACUCAUUUGUUGACUAAUUUUUUUUAUAGGUACUUUCCCCUUCUUUGGUCCCCAGUGUGGGACUUGAACUUGGAACCUCCCACAACCCCACCCCAAACCUUUAUGCUGUUGCAUUGUCCCUGCUGUACUAUUGGGUCAGAUUGCUUUUCAAAGCAGGGCCAGGAUGGACUUGCGUGAAGCCCUGGAUGCAGGCUUGCUGCACUUUGGGCUUGUCUAAAGAAAGAAAUAAAGUAGAACAAAUGUGAUCUUUAAGUAUAAGUAGCCUUAGCUCAGUGGCAACUAAACAGGUUGGAUUUUUUUUUAUCGUCAUUUCAAUUCCUUACACCUACAAUAUGAAGUAGGCAUUAUCUGGUCUCAGGCUGCACAUUGUGCUGAGGCAUGCCCAUACAAAGAUGCAGGUAGAGUUAUGGUCUGAAGAUUUGGGCUGAGUUUUUGUGUCUUCAGGCCAAUUUACAAUCACUAAACUCAUGCAGAACAAUUCAUGGAAAAGGAAACAGAGAAUCGAGGAGAGGUUAUCACUAUACUGCCUGUGUCAUUGACCAUAGGAGGUUUGUUUUGUUCUAUGUUCAUUAAACUUUGAUGACAUUUUUUGUUCUAUGUGGAAUAUCAUGAAAAUGUGGAUUUCUAAAGCAAGAUGUUAGUCUCCAUUUCGAACCAUUACCUCUAAUGCACUGUAUCUGAUCAUGGUUUUAUCACAUGUCAUCCAUGUAAUGAAUCAACUGGGCUUGUCCAGUAUUCUUGAGACAAUUGAUCUACAUAAUCUGUUGCUUAAUUAAUUUGGGGAAUCUACAUAAAUCAAUUCCUGCAUUAGGAAAUGUAAGAUUUUUCUUUUUGGUUUUUUUUUGGGGUUUUAAAGAUAAGAAUGUCUCUACAUGCUCCUUCUGGUCUUGCCAAGUGGGGAACUUUUCUUGUUUCUGCUGGGAAUCCAAAUUUACAAUUAUUUUAUCCUGAACUACUUGUAUUCAUGUUUGUUUAUGCUUUUGAGUUCAUAGCAUUGUAGAUAUAUUGCAAAUAACUGGAUAUCUAAUGCAGUUACGAAGGGGUGCUGACAGAGCAGAGAUCUAUAGUAUGGCAUUCUCUUCAACUGCACAGUGGCUGGUAGUCUCAAGUGACAAGGGCACUGUCCAUGUUUUCAGCCUUAAGGUUAAUUUAGCAUCCCCUGGGAAUGACAAGUCACGUGGUGCAUCUAAUUCCAAUCUGGCAGUAGCAUCAUCCACCUCAUCACUCUCUUUCAUCAAGGGUAAGGCACCUUUUCUUCAGUGUAUAGUUGUCUCAGUGAUAUGCAAGUUCUUACCAAAUUAGUGAUCUUGUGAAAUGAAACUCUCACUUUUUUGUCCCUCAAUACUUUUGAUUUGUGAUUUUCUGUCCCUUGUUUUUUACGCUUUUUUUAUGCAAUUGUUUUUCUUUGCUUCCCCUGCAUCUGUCAUUACUUGUUGCUUACUAGGAAGUAAUGAUGGAGAGUUGAUGAGCAAGACCCCAAGAACAAGAUGCAUUAGACAAUGUCAAUGUAUUGACUGUUGAAGGCUAAUAAUAAAUUGUGUCUUUGGCUUAGAACUUACUUGAAUUCUUACUUACAGGAGUAUUGCCCAAGUAUUUUAGCUCAGAGUGGUCAGUGGCUCAGUUUCGCUUGCCUGAAGGUUCUCAAUACAUUGUUGCUUUUGGUCACCAGAAGAAUACUGUGGUAAUUCUUGGAAUGGAUGGAAGGUAAGUGAGCACCAAGCUCAAAGAGGACAAACUUUAUGUAAUCCAAUAUAACUGCUUGUUACUUUGAAAUUUUCCUAUUGGCAUGCUCAAUUUUGACUUUUUAGAAAGUAUACACAUAUAUUCACCAGACUAUCAUCUGGGCUGUGGUUGGAGGGAAGAGUGGCUUCUACUGAACAACAAGCGUUUUUCAAGUUGCUUGUUGAUCAGGAGAGAGCUGCAGACCAUACAUCACAUGCAGUCAUCAGUCUUAGUAAGCUAUUCAUUGUAGAAACAUCUCCUUCUUUCUAGCAUAGGUUAAAACAUUGCAUCUGGAAGGUUGCAUGAGACAUUUUCUUUGACCACUAUAUUUUUAUUUCCCUGAUUCUUCUUUGCCUGCAACCCAUGUUUUUGCCUCUCUCUCUUCCCUCCAUCAGCCCAUGUUUCUUUUUCUUUUUUGUUUCACAUUCAUCAUAACGUUUUCUGUUAGAAAAGAAACUGGAAAUAAAAUUGUUGAUAUUCACUUGAAUUUGAAUGAUUGAAUGCAGCUUCUAUCGAUGUCAGUUCGAUGCAGUGAGCGGUGGAGAGAUGAUUCAGCUGGAGUACCACAACUUCCUUAAACCUGAAAAUACUAUGUAAUAGGGGCUUGGGUUACUUGUACGUUCUAUUUCUGGGCUAUGUAUAUAACAUUCCCUUUAUGGUUUUUAUCUUGCAUUUUACCCUUACCUAUGGAUGGCUACACAAAUCUAUUGUAAGUAUCUCAGUGUAGAUGGGUCACAAUCUAUAUAUACUGAUUAUAGUCAAUAUGAAAACAAAUUAAAGCAAACUUGUGUAGCAACUGUCUUCAUCCUAUUCAUAGUUUAAUUUCUUCUUUUCUGUGAGAUCUGAGUAGUGGCAUGUGAGAUAACAGCGUGUAAAGUUUCAUUCCAGCCUAGCACACUCUUCUUCAACUUCACCUUAUCUUCUCUUCUUCUUCAGUUUUGAUUUAUUUUUAAUUUAAUAAAAUAAUUGUUUAAUGUAUCAUUCAGGGUUCGGUUGUACAUUUUUUUUUUUAAAGAAAAAAAUGUUUAAGUGAGGGAAUACCAAUGGCAGAGUCCUAAAAUAGCUAGUGACAAGGCUCAGACUUCAAGUCCUCUGUGCUUCCCCAUGCCUUUUAUUUCCCUUUGUAUAUUGGAAAUAUAGCCCCCAAAAAAUCAAAUAUUAAAUGAGGAAGAUAAGAAAGAUGACUUAUCGUAGUAACACAAUGUGACAGAAGGAACUAGUAAAAUAUAAAUUUACUAACUAAAUAAACUAGAUGCCAUGUGUCAAAAAAAUAUUAUAGAUUUUGAAAUUGUUUAUCAGAGAUCUCAUUUCAAAAAAAAAAUUUUUUUUAAGUUAGUGAAUUUCUUCUUUUUUGCAUUUUUUUUUCUUUUUUUUUUUUUAUAAAAAAAAUCCCUCAUUUUUUGCCCUUGGAACUUCAAUCUUGCUUGGUUAGCUUAAUUCAAUGGUUUAGGGGUCAGAAAGAGGUGGUGACCAACCUGCAAAUACCACCCAACAAUGCAAUUAUGCAAGAAGAAGGGUCUGAAAGCCUGAAAGCUUGUUUGAUGAUAAACCCCAAAAAAGCUUUGGAAUACAAAGAGUGUUGGGGACAAGAAAUGAGAACGCAUCUCAAGAUGAAAUCUAAGGUCUCCAAAUUUGGUGCACUGAAAACUGUGAUUUUGACUGACUCACCUCUGACUUUUCUUUCUGCAGCAGCUUUGCCCCCAUCCACCCACCCACCCACAUGCCUACCUCCAUCGUCACACCCCACACACCCCCCCUCUAUACACCAUUUUCAUCACGCAAUCAUAGCUUCUUUUCCUUCCCUGAUAUCCCACAAUCAUCAGAUUCAUCACUCUACCUUGGACCACACACCCCUCCCAAGUAAUACAACUUUUUUUUCCCUUUUUACCCCUAUGAAUAGUCAAAGAAUUUAAUUGUAUGUCACAGACUCACAAUCAGCCAUACAGCUCCAAUGUUUCAGAGAGAAAGAAAAAAAAAAAAAAAAAAAGUACAUGGGUGGAGUGUAGCAUUGGGCCUCUUACAUAGACCAUGUGAUACUGAGUCAUAUUUACCUGACCAAAUGUAUAAAAUAAUUAACAAUCCAGAUUCACAUGGCAUAUAUAGAAAUGAAAAUGGCCCCAUUCAUAAUGUUCCUCUGAAAUUUCAUGAUACCAAUGGUGGGUCAAUAUCUGACCACUAAUUGGGGAUUUAAAACUAAUCUUCUGCCAUUAAUUUACAUCUCCAAUGAAUAAACAACUCUCAUUUUAUCAAAAAGUUUUAUUAUAUCAACUCGAAUAAUUAAAAUCCAUCAACUCUAAAUUAUUUUUUUUUAAAAGAAAAAUAAUUUGAGUGUAUGAAAUUAUUUUUUUAAAUUACAAAUUGAAUUGGUAAUUUACCAAUUCAUUUCCAUUAUAGUUAUGAAUAAAUCAUUUCGUAUACCACUAAAUAAACCCAUGAUCUAAGCCUUGAUUUAAAAAAAAAAAAUUCUAAAGUUGGUAGUGUAUACACAUUCAAAUAUAAUCUAUAUUUUUUUUUUACUUUGAUGCAAUUUAAGAAACAAUUUUUUUUUUCCAAAUAUCAAAACUAUUUUUAUUUUUCAUAAUCUAUAUUUUAAAUUAAUUAAGACUUUAAUUAUAAUUAUUUUUGAAAGUUGAUUCUUCUUUCUUUUUCGCAAAGCUCACAAGAGCAUAUAAUUUGAAAAAUAGAAAAAAUAAAAAAGAAGAAGAAAAACAAGGAAUGUUCUUAAUGAAUUUGUGUAGAAAAUUAUUUUAUAUUCAAUAAAAUUUUAAAAAUACUAAAAUAUUUAAACUUUGUUUCCAACUUCUAAAAAAAAUAAAAGAUGUGAUUACAACAUUGAAAAAUGCUUUCUCGAUUUCUAUUGAAAAAAUAGUAUGAAUUAAAUGGUGUCAAAUAUAUAUUUUUAUGUAUUCUUAUUUAAUCUAAGUCCAUAUUUUUUUGUUCAAUAUUAAGCUACAUUACCUUUUCAUUGUCCAAAAAUUAUUGCAAGCAAGAAUAGUAUUUACCUGUGCCUUUUCUUCUUCAUGAAUUCAAUGUGAACAGUAGAGAAGUCCUUUCUAAAGGAGCGGGGCAAGUUGAUUGAAACAAGAGAAUCGAGGUGGACAGCAACUACACGAAACACCACUGCAUAAGAAGCCAACAAACUAGUAUAUAAAGCCCACCAUACCCUCUUCAUUUGCAGUACCACCUCACCAUCCUCCAUUCAUAUUGCCCAUUUUCACCCACCUCUUUCUCUCUCUUUUUCUAUUUUUUCUCACCUACCCUCCUUCUCUUUCUCUCUGCCUCUCAGUUUCUCAGUCUUUCAAUGGCGCUCAAGCUCCAUGGAAUUCCCAUGUCCACAUGCACCACUCGUGUCCUCACCUGUCUCCAUGAGAAAGGCUUGGAUUUUGAGCUUGUCCCUGUUAAUCUCUUUGCAGGUGAACAUAAGCAGCCUCCUUUUCUUGCCAAGAAUGUGAGUCUCACUUCCCUCUUUCUUUCUAAUCAUCCCUCUUUAUUCUCUUUGAAGAUUUUACUUUUCUUUGGGGUUGUAUAAAUUAUGAUUUUCCUUGGUUUGGGUACAUUGUUUUUAGUGUGCAGUCUUGUCGAUUUGAUUUUGGUCUUGGUUUUGUUAUACAUAUAUGCAGCCCUUUGGACAGAUUCCAGUUCUGGAAGAUGGCGAUCUCACUCUUUUUGGUAAGUCCUCGGUUUUAAUCACUUUCCUCAUAAAAGCUUGAAAUUUGUUGUACUGUACUACCAUCAGGAUUGACAGUUCCUGAGAUUUAUUAGCUGCUUGCUUUUGAACAAAAUUUUGCUUUAAAAAAUUAAAGGAGUUUUUCUUACAAAAUCAUGCUAUUUAGUACAACAUACGAGCUGGGUCUAUGAUACUAUUAAGUAUACUAUUGCCCCAGCCUUACUGAAAAUCCCUAGUCGAUGAAGUUGGGUUACUGAAAUUAUGUAUAUGUACCAGAAUCUAGGGCAAUAACAGCAUAUUUGGCCGAGAAAUACAAGGAAACGGGGUGUGAUCUCUUGAGGCACAAUGACCUCAAAGAAGCUGCAUUGGUGAAGGUGUGGUUGGAGGUUGAAUCCCAACAAUAUCAUCCGGCAAUAUACCAGAUUGUGUACCAGUUCUUCGUGUUGCCUCUACAAGGCAAGACGGCCGAUCAGGCCAUUAUUGAUGUAAAUCUGGAGAAGUUGGGUAAGGUUCUGGAUGUGUAUGAGGCCAGGCUGGGCACCACAAAGUGCCUAGCAGGAGAUUUCUACAGCUUGGCUGAUCUUCACCACCUUUCUUACACUUACUAUUUCAUGAAGACGCCAUGGGCUUCCCUCAUAAACAGCCGUCCCAAUGUGAAGGCAUGGUGGGAGGACAUUUCCUCAAGGCCAGCUUUCAAGAAAGUGGCUGAAGGCAUGACUUUUGGUGAGAAGUGAUCGGUUUCUGAGCAGUGUGGCUCUAUGUUUUGGGGUAAUAUUAAUUGUAGUGGUUGCUGCCUCUUAAUUACGUGUAUUUAAGUGUGAGACCACGUAAUAAUUACUGAUUAUGUGUUAUGAUUUGCCCUAAAUUAAUCAGAAAUGUGGAAUUAUCUGGGGUUUCUCAUUGUGGUAAUUAAUCUGCUUGCAACCAGUUUUUGAAAGGGUUUGAUGCAUUUUUACUCCAUACUUUGCUUUAGCUAGGGUUAUGUUGGUGUCUCUAAGGCAUAAUGCUUCCAUUUUUGAGUCAUUGCAUACUCAGAUCAAAGUUUUCAAGACUUGUAGAAAAUGGGUUUUGGUAUUUUCAUGAAAGAGAAUGAAAGGGCAAAUUUCUUCACAAGGCAUGUAGUAAGGGUUUUCCCUUUCAAUCAGUCUUUUUCCUGAGAAACAAACAGAAUGUAUAUCAUGCCGUGUCAUCCACUGUGACAGUUUUCCUCUGAAGAGUUUUACUGCAGUACUUCCUAUUUAUUCCCAUUUUUACUUCCCAAACGAGGUAAACACGUACUGUACUGCAGCUCUGGUUAUUUUCAUCAUCCUUGCUUGUCCAAAGCAGCUUCACUCUUUGAACCUAUUUUUAUUGUUAUAUAUAUAUAUAUAUUAGGUCAAAUUAAUCUUCCAAUUUUCUAACUCUAAGCCCUUGCAAAGAGUUUUUGUAGUAUCAUAUGUAUCUACUAUCAGUCAAGCAGAAACUGGAUAAUGUUCUAUAUACGCUUCAAUAAUUAUGGAUCCAGCAAAGGAGAUCUUUUGUUAUGCUACGGGUCUCUACUAAAAUCUGAGGCUGGAACCCACUUCAAUUAUUCACUCAUUUUGUUCUCAUAGAACCUUCAGCCAUGUGACCCUCACCCUCCAACUAACUUUCAACCACAUCUACCACCUUUCUUUCCUUUUUAUUUUUAUUUUUUAGUUUUGACCUAAUUCCAUCUAACUCUCAAAAUGUAUUCUAAAUCAUGCAUCACAGUCUCAAAAUAUAUGUAGGCCCUUCUCUCUAGAUUCUUGAUUCUAUAGUCUUGUACAACCCAAAUUUCUUAGACUCUAGUCUGAAUAAGCUUGAUAGACAUGAUUGUGCUUAUUAUUUAAUAAUUUAAGUUUUUCUUAUAGUAAUUAAUAGUUUAAUAUGAUAUAAUAAAAUUUCUUAUCUUAAUUAAUUUGUAAAAUUAUCUAGAUGAGAUAAAUAGAUAGUCCUAAUUUUUAACUCCAAAAAUUGAUUUUUUUUCUCAAUUAUAAAUUUUCUUAAUCCAAUGCGAGAUUCAAAUAUCAAAAUAAUAGCUAGUUUCAUAAGACACUUGAUGUAUGUGGAAAACCAUCAACAAUCAUGGGUUUGCAAAACAAAGUAAUUACUAAAUCUAAAAGAAUAAGUACACAAUUUUUAUCAAAAUUUGAUACUAUCUUCUCCCAAGGGUCUUAUGUUGGCACAUAUUUACACUUGUUUUCAUGUUUGAGAUGCAACACCUUAUACCCUUUAGGAAACUCCUCAACUACUUGAUAACAUAUAAUCAACCAUUAUGAUUUGAUCUCAAAUAAGAGUUAAGCGAUUGAAAAUGUAUGUGUAGUGAGUUUGAAAUGAGAAUGAUAGAGAAAUUGAACUUUUUCAUUAGACUUUAAAUGAAGCCAUUAAGGAAGAGAUCCACUCCCAAGAUUAAUUCAAGAUGGGGAUAUAAAAAUGGUAUCUUACCAUAAUGACGUCAUCCAUCAAACUUUAUAUGAAGAAGAUAAAUCCAUUGGUUGAACUCUUUAUAGAGGAAUAAUUGACUCUUUAUCAUUAAACAAUAUAUGUUUGUUUUCAACUUGCAAAGAAUCUUAUUCUAGUGCUAUUAAAAAAAUUCUUAAAUAUUUAAAAAGAAUAAUUAAACUAUGUUUGUGAUAUCAUGCAUACUAACUUUGAUCUAAUUAACUAAUUAAAAGUGGAUUUUCCGUUUGUAAAAGUAAUGGAAAUGUAUUAGUGGUACUUAUAAUGUUUGUUUUCAAUCUUACAAAGAAUCUUAUUUUAGUGCUAUUAAAAAUAUUCUUAAAUAUUUAAAAAGAAUAAUUAAACCACGUUUGUGGUAUCAUGCAUACUAACUUUGAUCUAAUUAACUAAUUAAAAAUGGGUUGUUCCAUUUGUAAAAGUAAUGGAAACGUAUUAGUGGUACUUCUAACUUUCUAGGCCACUCACUAGGUUUUGACAUAGUGAUCGAACCUUUGAUCAAUUGAGUUGUCGUGUGCGAUAUAUUUCAUAAUGACUAAUUGAUGCAUGGUGGUUUAGACUUAGUCUUAAUUGGUUGAGGACUUGUUGAUCAGAUGUUAAUCGAUUAAGGUUCUUGCACCUUAAUGAUUACCUCCAAGUGUACUUUUAUUUAAUAGCAUGUUUCUUAGUCCAUCGCCUAAUCCACUAAUUCAGCUAAAAAUGUGCCUAAGGGCUAGUUUCACUCUAGAACUCUUAUUUAAAACUUUCCAACCUUGAGCAAUCAUUGUAGCAAUUUAUUGAAUGGUUCUCUAGAAUACUCUUAUUCCCAAACUCGCAAGUCUCAUUUAGUCUACCUUAAUCUUAGUUUAUUUAUAUAUUUGAUCCUGAAUUUUGCAAACUAGAAAGCUUACUUUAAGAAAUUCACUCUUGUAUUCAUGAAAGAGUAUACUGAAAUGUAAGGGAUCACUUGAGGGCAUUGCAAAGGCAUAUUGGAAGCUUAAAUAUAAGUGUAAAAAAAUUAAAAGCAAAAUCUUAGCACUAGUGAAUGGACCUCAAGCUUAGAUUGAUGAAAGAGAGAGUGGAUAUAGGAGUUAUAGAACCAUUAUAAGUACUUUAUUGCAUCACUCUAUCCCUAUCUCUAUUAAUUUACUUGCACUAUAUUAAUUUUUAUAAUUUGCUUUUUAAUUUUCUAAAUUUUGCAAAAGAACUAACACCGAAUUCUCCUCCCCUCUUGGGUGUCUUCCUCAAGUGAACUCAACUAAUUUGCUUUUCAAUUUUCUAAAAUCAUGAAUCAAUGUAUCAUAAAGCAAAUCCACUAAUUUAAAAAGAAUUAAUACACGGUUUUACCUUAACCAUAUGUUAUCUUCCCCUAAUAAUCUUACACCAAUCAACACAUCCAUUUGUUUUCACGUUUGCAAUGCAAUAUAUGCUCCUUAGUAAACUCCUUAGCAAUUUGAGAUAAUACAAUCAACCAUCAUAAUUUAUCCUUUAAUUAAAGUUAAGUUUUCAGGAAUAUUGGAAACACACAUGAGAAUAACGACAAUUAUUUUCGAGAGCAUGUUGUUUUUUCAAUAUAAGGAGAAAAUCUUACUAAGUCUAUCCAAAUACAUUAAUUGAAAAAAAUAUAGAAUUAGAAAAUCAUGAAAAAAAAAAAACAAAUGGGUCCAAGGUAAACCGAUGUACUCCAUUUUGUCAUGAAUAUUCACUAAAAAUUACUCAACCGUACACAAGCUUGACACACAACAUUUCCCCACUACGUAAUAGCCAUUAAAUCAAAUGAAAAAUAAAAUCUCCAACGUUAAAUUAAGUUGACACCGUGUGCAUCCCUGGUUUCAUAAUGCAGAGUGAGAUGAAACAGAAUCGAUGCACAAGUACUGGGAAAUAAAAUUACCCAUCACGAGUCUAGAAAAUGGGUUCUGAUAUUUUCACAUAAGACAAUGUUGGAGGAUUCUAGGAAAAGAAAGAGAAUGCGGGAAAGGGAAAAUUCUUCACAUGCCUACAGCAUUUACGGCAUAAAGAACGUUUUCUUUCUCAAAGCAUGUGAUCUUUUUCCUGAGAACCAAACAGAUGGCAAAAGCAAGUUCCUGCUUGUCCAAAAAAACCCUGUACUCAUUGGACUAACAAAGCCUGAAUUAAAUAUGGGCCAUUUCGUACCUUCACCAUGGCCCAUUUCUUGUGAUGUUCUUUUGAAUAAAUUUAAGAAAUUACUGUUAGAAAUCAAAUAGAUUGAAUAAAUAUUUUAAUUUAUAAAAAAAUCAUCUUAAAUAAAUAACAAAUAAUAAAUAGGAGAAGGAAAAGAGAAAGUACGUAUAUUUGCAAUGUUACAUUACCUCACCUUAUCGUUUUCCAAAACUUAUAGUAAGCAAGAAUUGGAUUUACUUCUGCCUUCUAUUCUUCAUCAAUACAAUAUGAACGGUAGAGAAGUCCCUUGUUCUAAAGGAGCCGGGCAAGUCGAUUGAAACAAGCGAAUCGAGGUGGCCUGCAACUACCCUAAACAACACUGCAUAAGAAGCCAACAAACUAGUAUAUAACGCCCACCAUACCCUCUUCAUUUUCAGUACCACCUCACCAUCCUCCAUUCAUAUCGCCCAUUUUCACCCACCUCUUUCUCUCUCUCUCUCUCUCUCUCACUCUCUCAGUUUCUCAGUCUUUCAAUGGCGCUCAAGCUCCAUGGAAUUCCCAUGUCCACUUGCACCACUCGUGUCCUCACCUGUCUCCAUGAGAAAGGCUUGGAUUUUGAGCUUGUCCCUGUUAAUCUCUUUGCAGGUGAACAUAAGCAGCCUCCUUUUCUUGCCAAGAAUGUGAGUCUCACUUUCUUCUUUCUUUCUAAUCAUCUCUCUUUCUUCUCUCUGUAGAUUUUGCUUUCUUUGGGGUUGUAUAAAUUAUGAUUUUCCUUGGUUUGGGUACAUUGUUUUUAAUGUACAGUCUCGUCGAUUUGAUUUUGGUCUUGGUUUUGUUAUACAUAUAUGCAGCCC